UUUGCAUGUAAGCUGUGGGGGAAAACCCUUAAAUUUUGGGGGUUUUCAACCCUUUGAUUACGAUUGUUUUGAUUCUUGUGUUGUUUCCUGUCUAAUUUCAGAAAACCCUAAGCUAUAAAUUCGUCUCAUGUUCUCUGAUUCUUACUAAGCUUUGCAAGACCCUCUGAUUUCUCGCAUAGCUAUGUUCUUCUACUUUGAUUGCAUGACCACUAUGUUUGUUUAAUUAUAGCCUAUGCAUGUUUAAGCUUAUGCAUCCUUUAUAGUCAGACCUUUUCCUCUCAAAAUAACCCUAAUUUUUUGGGAUUGAUUUCAUAUCACCAUUAUGUGAGCAUAUUUGAAUUUUUUCUUGCUUAAUGUGGACCAGUUUUCUGACUUAGUUCAUUAUUAAGUAUGAAUCCUUAAU
rnacentral:lncRNA from 1 species